GACGAACGCUGGCGGCGUGCUUAACACAUGCAAGUCGAACGGAAAGGCCCCUUUGGGGGUACUCGAGUGGCGAACGGGGGAGUAACACGUGAGUAACCUGCCCUUGACUUCGGGAUAACUUCAGGAAACUGGGGCUAAUACCGGAUAGGAAUCCUUGCUGCAUGGUGGGGGUUGGAAAGCUUCGGCGGCUUUGGAUGGACUCGCGGCUUAUCAGCUUGUUGGUGGGGUAGUGGCUUACCAAGGCUCUGACGGGUAGCCGGCCUGAGGGGGCGACCGGCCACACUGGGACUGAGGUACGGCCCAGGCUCCUACGGGAGGCAGCUGUGGGGAAUAUUGCACAAUGGGCGGAGGCCUGAUGCAGCAGCGCCGCGUGCGGGAUGACGGCCUUCGGGUUGUAAAACGCUUUCAGCAGGGGCGAAGCUUGUGGUGACGGUACCUGCAGAAGAAGCACCGGCUAACUACGUG
rnacentral:rRNA from 1 species